CAAACGGGUGAGUAACGCGUGGGUGACCUGCCUUCGAGUGGGGGAUAACGUUUCGAAAGGAACGCUAAUACCGCAUAACAUACCGCUUUUUAAGAAGUGGCUAUCAAAGCUUGGGACCGCAAGGCCAGGCGCUUGUAGAGGGGCCCGCGUCCGAUUAGCUAGUUGGUGGGGUAAUGGCUCACCAAGGCUACGAUCGGUAACCGGCCUGAGAGGGCGGACGGUCACGCUGGGACUGAGACACGGCCCAG
rnacentral:rRNA from 1 species